AUUAUACAUAUUGUUUUCCAGGCUUUCCAGCUCAUGGGAAAGUGAUAUCAGCACCCACUCUCUGACCCUGCCUUUCCCAACCUGCUUGGAGCUGCUGUUGACGUUAUCAGGGAAUAAUGCCACUCUGCCUCCAUCCCUUCACUUUAUGAAUUCCUUUCGGGUGAGAAUGAGCUCCUUUACCAAGGAUCUCAAAGAGACCUUAGAAGACACCUUAUCAUUUUGCAAGAGGGGAGACUGAGAUCCAGUGAGACAAAGUGAGUUGGCCGGGGAAUACCCACUGUGUUGGAGAUGGAAGCAGGACUCCUCAGGCUUGUGCCCACAUGCCCCACCUGCUGCCCAAAUGCAGGAUGAUCUGAGGUCCUGGGAGGCAGAAGAAGGUUUGAGGGGUAGUUGGAAAAGGUUAUAAGUACUUUGGAAUGUUCACACACACCCCUUAUUUUGUAGAAACCUAUAAUUAUUUUAUUUAUUUGUAUAGUGCCCUGCACUAGAAAUUAUUUAAAAUUCUGUAUAUCAACCCAUAUUUCUUCCAAGUUUUGCUUAUUGAAUUGAACAUUGAAUAACACAAAAGUUUGUAUAUGCCCACAAACAUUUAUGGAGGAAGAUACAGGAAACUUAAUAGUGGUUCUUUAGAAAGGGAGGCUGGAAGACUAUUAUGUUUUAUUUCACUCCUUUAUGUAGUGUUGGAAUUUUUAUAUAACAGGUGACUGGGGAGCAAGAAAGAUGAGCCUGACUGUGAAGAUUUCACAGCAUAUUGGGGAAGUUAGAGCAAUCAUCCAUGUGUGAUAUAAAUUGGGAAUAAUUUUAUUACACAGUAGCCUCAACUCACAUCUUCAACAGAUUAAAGGUGAAAGAGUGAUCCAAACCUAGUACAGGGAAUUUGAGAGGAGGAGCAAUCUCAAUUUAUUCUCCAUGAGGUAGGAGUCUUGCUCCCUUCAAGGACCUCAGCUGGGACUCACAUAAAUGCACAAGCGGAAAGCCCAGUCUGCUCUUGGCAGCAUUAGUAUUCCCUCAUAGCACCGUUUAAUCACAGGGGCUCUGAGAGCCAUCAGGAUAAUACUGAAUGUCUCUGUUCGUGGUUGUACUUCACCUUGUUUCAGGCUGUUUUCUGAGUAUUAUUGCCAGGAGCACAUACUUUUUCCCAACUUCAAAGGUAUGGAGAAAUUUGGCACAAGUUCAUGAACAGAGUCUGCUAAAGAGAUUCAGUCCCUGCUGCUACUCCUGGAAAGAUGCAUUUUUAUCAGGAACAUACCAGGAAUAGACUUCCCUAUACAAGUCUUCAUUACAAGGUAAAGAUUCAGUGAAAAAAGGGAGGAUGCCUGUCAGGAUUAGAAAGAGAUGCGCUGCUUUUUCAUCCUUGUAACACCUACACCAUCAUUUAUUACAGUGGCAAGGAUUGGGGCAGCUAAUUUUGCCCAUAUUCAGAAUUUGCUUUUUCAGUUGGAAAAAUCACUUUAAUGCACAUUUAUUUAAAGUGCUGUGUUGGCAAAAGCUGUAAAGGAGUAGAACGACACUUGUUAAGGAUACCAUUUUACAGUUCCAUUUCUCUUACUUUCCAGGCCAAGUCAGCCACUGUGAGCAAUGCUUCUUUCUUUGUAAAAUGUUAGUUUAGGUUUCCUGAAAUUCAAAUGGCAUUUCUGCUUGAGCUAUUAUCACUGCCAAAUCCCAAAAGGAAAGGCUUAUCUUAUUAAUUAGAGGUAUUAACAUAUAUGAAAUUCCAACUUUUUAAAUUACACUUGUAACAUUUAUCUGAGACCAAUAGGGAUAUCUUUUGCUGGUUUUGUUGUCAUUUUAAUUUCUACUCUGUUACAGAACCUUAAUAUUCCAUAGUGUGAUUAUGAGCCAGCAAAACUUGUGAUUCAGCUGGGAAUCACUGAUACUUUGCUAAGCACAUGCAAGUCAUUGCAGUCCCAAGAAGGAUGGACUUAAUGUGUCACUCCCUGCUUAAAAUUCUUCCUUGACUUUCUAUUGUAAUGAGAAUAAAAUCAAACAUCUUAUCCUGGCCUACAAGGCCUGGCAACACCUGGCCCUCCUCCCUCUCUGGCUUCAUCUCCUCUUUCUCUCCACUUCAGUCCCUCUGCUCCAGGCACACUGGCAUUAUUUCCCACUUCUAUCACAGCAGGCUGCUUCUGGCCAUCAGCUUUGUGCUACCAGAUCUUCACAAGGCUGCAUCCUUCCUGUCUUCCAGGUGUUGGUUGAGGGUGUCUUCUCCCUCAGAAAGCCUAGCCUGACUCCACCCCUCACUGAGAUCCCCUCUUCCCAUUGUCGUCAUUUUAUAACCUCACCUUGUUUUAUUUUCUUCAUAGCACUUUUCACCAUUAAAAACAAUCUUGUUAA